AGGCAGGAAGGGGGGGCGAUGGCGGGACGGGUGGCGCCGGAGUUCCAGCCCUGCGCCUGCUCCGGGGCACCGGGCCCCUCUCGCUGACCCCCUCGUCCCAGGACCCCGCAGGCCCGAGUGCCUGGGCUCGUCCUCUUUCGCGCCCGCUGCCAGGACAGAAGUCGGUCCUAGGCCCCCCAAGCUCUGACCUUCUUUCCCAGGAUGAGGUGGGGCCACCAUUUGCCCAGGGCCUCUUGGGGCUCUGGUUUUAGAAGAGCACUCCAGCGACCAGGGCCUUUAUACACCACCACGGAAGCUCGGUAGAUAGCGCUCCCCCAUCCGGGAGGCAUGGACGGCUGUUCCCCAGCGCCUCUGCAACUGAAGCUAUACAGCGGCACCGCCGGAACCUGGCUGAGUGGUUCAGCCGGCUGCCCAGGGAGGAGCGCCAGUUUGGCCCGACCUUUGCCCUUGACACGGUCCACGUUGACCCUGUGAUCCGCGAGAGUACCCCUGAUGAGCUACUUCGCCCACCCGCGGAGCUGGCCCUGGAGCAUCAGCCACCCCAGGCCGGGCUCCCCCCACUGGCCCUGUCUCAGCUCUUUAACCCGGAUGCCUGUGGGCGCCGGGUGCAGACAGUGGUGCUGUAUGGGACAGUGGGCACAGGCAAGAGCACGCUGGUGCGCAAGAUGGUUCUGGACUGGUGUUACGGGCGGCUGCCGGCCUUCGAGCUGCUCAUCCCCUUCUCCUGUGAGGACCUGUCAUCCCUGGGCCGUGCCCCAGCCUCCCUGUGCCAACUUGUGGCCCAGCGCUACACGCCCCUGAAGGAGGUUCUGCCCUUGAUGGCUGCUGCUGGGUCCCACCUCCUCUUUGUGCUCCAUGGCUUAGAGCAUCUCAACCUUGACUUCCGGCUGGCAGGCACGGGACUUUGUAGUGACCCGGAGGAACCGCAGGAACCAGCUGCUAUCAUCGUCAACCUGCUGCGCAAAUACAUGCUGCCUCAGGCCAGCAUUCUGGUGACCACUCGGCCCUCUGCCAUUGGCCGUAUCCCCAGCAAGUACGUGGGCCGCUAUGGUGAGAUCUGCGGUUUCUCUGAUACCAACCUGCAGAAGCUCUACUUCCAGCUCCGCCUCAACCAGCCGGACUGCGGGUAUGCCGUUGGUGGUUCAGGUGUCUCUGCCACACCAGCUCAGCGUGACCACCUGGUGCAGAUGCUCUCCCGGAACCUGGAGGGACACCACCAGAUAGCCGCUGCCUGCUUCCUGCCAUCCUAUUGCUGGCUCGUUUGUGCCACCUUGCACUUCCUGCAUGCCCCCACGCCUGCUGGGCAGACCCUUACAAGCAUCUAUACCAGCUUCCUGCGCCUCAAUUUCAGCGGGGAAACCCUGGACAGCACUGACCCCUCCAAUUUGUCCCUGAUGGCCUAUGCAGCCCGAACCAUGGGCAAAUUGGCCUAUGAGGGGGUGUCCUCCCGCAAGACCUACUUCUCUGAAGAGGAUGUCUGUGGCUGCCUGGAGGCUGGCAUCAGGACGGAGGAGGAGUUUCAGCUGCUGCACAUCUUCCGCCGGGAUGCCCUGAGGUUUUUCCUGGCCCCAUGUGUGGAGCCAGGGCGUGCAGGCACCUUCGUGUUCACCGUGCCCGCCAUGCAGGAAUACCUGGCUGCCCUCUACAUUGUGCUGGGUUUGCGCAAGACGACCCUGCAAAAGGUGGGCAAGGAAGUGGCUGAGCUCGUGGGCCGUGUUGGGGAGGACGUCAGCCUGGUACUGGGCAUCAUGGCCAAGCUGCUGCCUCUGCGGGCUCUGCCUCUGCUCUUCAACCUGAUCAAGGUGGUUCCACGAGUGUUUGGGCGCAUGGUGGGUAAGAGCCGGGAGGCGGUGGCUCAGGCCAUGGUGCUGGAGAUGUUUCGAGAGGAGGACUACUACAACGAUGAUGUUCUGGACCAGAUGGGCGCCAGUAUCCUGGGCGUGGAGGGCCCCCGGCGCCACCCAGAUGAGCCCCCUGAGGAUGAAGUCUUCGAGCUCUUCCCCAUGUUCAUGGGGGGGCUUCUCUCUGCCCACAACCGAGCCAUGCUAGCUCAGCUUGGCUGCCCCAUCAAGAACCUGGAUGCCCUGGAGAAUGCCCAGGCCAUCAAGAAGAAGCUGGGCAAGCUGGGCCGGCAGGUGCUGCCCCCCUCAGAGCUCCUUGACCACCUCUUCUUCCACUAUGAGUUCCAGAACCAGCGCUUCUCCGCUGAGGUGCUCAGCUCCCUGCGUCAGCUCAACCUGGCAGGUGUGCGCAUGACACCCGUUAAGUGCACAGUGGUGGCGGCUGUGCUGGGCAGCGGAAGGCAUGCCCUGGAUGAGGUGAACUUGGCCUCCUGCCAGCUAGAUCCUGCUGGGCUGCGCACACUCCUGCCUGUCUUCCUGCGUGCCCGGAAGCUGGGCUUGCAACUCAACAGCCUGGGCCUUGAGGCCUGCAAGGACCUCCGAGACCUGUUGCUGCAUGACCAGUGCCAAAUUACCACACUGCGGUGAGUGACCUGGGAGUGGGGCAUCCCGGUGGCCAGCUAAGGUCAAGAGUGAGCUCCCUGCUUCCUGACAUACUUGGCACAGACCCACCCAAGGGAUAGU
rnacentral:sRNA from 1 species